rnacentral:rRNA from 1 species
UCGAGGGGUAUGGGGGGCUUGCCCCCCAGAGACCGGCGCACGGGUGCGUAACGCGUAUGCAACCUACCUUCCACAGGGGGAUAGCCCAGAGAAAUUUGGAUUAAUACCCCAUGGCAUCACGAGAUGGCAUCAUCAUAUGAUUAAAGUCACAACGGUGGAAGAUGGGCAUGCGUCCUAUUAGCUAGUUGGUGUGGUAACGGCACACCAAGGCGACGAUAGGUAGGGGUCCUGAGAGGGAGAUCCCCCACACUGGUACUGAGACACGGACCAGACUCCUACGGGAGGCAGCAGUGAGGAGUAUUGGUCAAUGGACGCAAGUCUGAACCAGCCAUGCCGCGUGCAGGAUGAAGCAUCUAUGGUGUGUAAACUGCUUUUAUACGGGAAGAAACCCCGCCUCGUGAGGCGGACUGACGGUACCGUAGGAAUAAGGACCGGCUAACUCCGUGCCAGCAGCCGCGGUAAUACGGAGGGUCCAAGCGUUAUCCGGAAUCAUUGGGUUUAAAGGGUCCGUAGGCGGCCCGGUAAGUCAGUGGUGAAAUCUCCCCGCUCAACGGGGAAACGGCCAUUGAUACUGCCGGGCUUGAAUUACCAGGAAGUAACUAGAAUAUGUAGUGUAGCGGUGAAAUGCUUAGAUAUUACAUGGAAUACCAAUUGCGAAGGCAGGUUACUACUGGU